CGCAGACUAACUAGGAUUCCCUUAGUAACGGCGAGUGAACCGGGAUGAGCUCAAAUUUAAAAUCUGGCGUCUUUCAGGCGUCCGAGUUGUAAUCUAUAGAGGCGUUUUCCGCGCCGGACCGCGUCCAAGUCUCUUGGAAUAGAGUAUCAAAGAGGGUGACAAUCCCGUACUUGACGCGACAACCGGUGCUCUGUGAUACGUUCUCAAUGAGUCGAGUUGUUUGGGAAUGCAGCUCUAAAUGGGUGGUAAAUUCCAUCUAAGGCUAAAUAUUGGCGAGAGACCGAUAGCGAACAAGUACCGUGAGGGAAAGAUGAAAAGCACUUUGGAAAGAGAGUUAAACAGCACGUGAAAUUGUUAAAAGGGAAACGAUUGAAGUCAGUCGUGUGAAAGGUAUUCAGCCGUCUCUGGCGGUGUAUUUGCCUUUCACGGGUCAACAUCAGUUUGAUCCGGUAGAAAAAGGCGGGAGGAAGGUGGCACCCUCGGGUGUGUUAUAGCCUCCUGUCAUAUGUGCCGGACCAGACUGAGGAACGCAGCUUGCCGCAAGGCCGGGGUUCGCCCACGUACAAGCUUAGGAUGUUGACAUAA
rnacentral:rRNA from 1 species